rnacentral:tRNA from 1 species
CGGAAAGUGGCCUAACGGUAAGGCACUUGGUUUGGGACCAAGGGAUUGCAGGUUCGAUUCCUGUCUUUCCGACCA